CACGUAGGCACCAAGCGUUGUCCGGAUUUAUUGGGCGUAAAGGGCUCGUAGGCGGUUUGUCGCGUCGGGAGUGAAAUCCACUGGCUUAACUGGUGGCUUGCUUUCGAUACGGGCAGACUGGAGGUAUGCAGGGGAGAACGGAAUUCCUGGUGUAGCGGUGAAAUGCGCAGAUAUCGGGAGGAACACCUAUGGCGAAGGCAGCUCGCUGGGACGUUACUGACGCUGAGACGCGAAAGCGUGGGGAGCAAACAGG
rnacentral:rRNA from 1 species